GAUGAACGCUGGCGGCGUGCCUAAUACAUGCAAGUCGAGCGAACAGACGAGGAGCUUGCUCCUCUGACGUUAGCGGCGGACGGGUGAGUAACACGUGGGUAACCUACCUAUAAGACUGGGAUAACUUCGGGAAACCGGAGCUAAUACCGGAUAAUAUUUCGAACCGCAUGGUUCGAUAGUGAAAGAUGGCUUUGCUAUCACUUAUAGAUGGACCUGCGCCGUAUUAGCUAGUUGGUAAGGUAACGGCUUACCAAGGCAACGAUACGUAGCCGACCUGAGAGGGUGAUCGGCCACACUGGAACUGAGACACGGUCCAGACUCCUACGGGAGGCAGCAGUAGGGAAUCUUCCGCAAUGGGCGAAAGCCUGACGGAGCAACGCCGCGUGAGUGAUGAAGGUCUUCGGAUCGUAAAACUCUGUUAUUAGGGAAGAACAAACGUGUAAGUAACUGUGCACGUCUUGACGGUACCUAAUCAGAAAGCCACGGCUAACUACGUG
rnacentral:rRNA from 1 species